rnacentral:rRNA from 1 species
GACGAACGCUGGCGGCGUGCCUAAUACAUGCAAGUCGAACGGAGUGGCGAACGGGUGAGUAAUGUAUCGGAACGUGCCCAGUAGCGGGGGAUAACUACGCGAAAGCGUAGCUAAUACCGCAUACUAUUGGAGCGGCCGAUAUCGGAUUAGCUAGUUGGUGGGGUAACGGCUCACCAAGGCGCCGAUCCGUAGCUGGUUUGAGAGGACGACCAGGCACACCUGUACUGAGGCACGGCCCAGGCCCCCUAGGGAGGCAGCAGUGGGGAAUUUUUGAACAUUGGGGAAACCCUGAUCCAGCCAUCCCGCGUGUGCGAUGAAGGCCUUCGGGUUGUAAAGCACUUUUGGCAGGAAAGCGGUACCUGCAGAAUAAGCACCGGCUAACUACGUGCCAGCAGCCGCGGUAAUAC